CAUAAGCCCACAGUGUUUCCGAUGUUCAUUAUUUCUUUCCAUUCCUCUCCAGGUGGAUCAAAGAGAAGAGAAGGAUGAACCAAGGAGUUCAUUUACUCUCCAAGUGCCAAGAGUGUGUACCAGAGACUUCCAGUUCCUCCAGCUGUGACCUGUGCUUUACUCUAACCUGACGCGUACAAUAAAUCUACGAAUGCACUCUGGCCAGAAUGGCAUCAGAAGUCCUAGCACGAGUCGAGGGAGCACUUCAGUCAGAGCUGCCGGGGUGCGCAGCAUGAAUAGAUAAGAUCCUCAACCUUGAGCAAAGCUCCCUCCUGAGGAUCACUGGGGAAUGAAAGGUCCUGCCUGGGAAACAUUACUAAAAAUCUCUAACUCUGUAUAUCAACAACUCUGCUUCUGUCAACGGCACAAAAUCAAUGGGUAGACUGACCUUGUUUGCUGCCCAUGCAAACGUGUCACAAAAGAGCCCAUGUAUGCGUGUAAUUUUUCCAUGAAUUGCCCAUUUCAUUUGUCACAGUUGGAUUCGCGCUUAUGAGAAAUAGAUGGAGUGUCAAUUAAAGCCAGUUGCAAAUACAUCCACAUCAUCCGAAUACAGAACUGUCAAAAUCAGCUCACGUCAUC
ensembl:lncRNA